UUUUAUCAGUGAUGAUUAUAAAGUAAAUAAAUAAGUAAAUUUUUCAAAGUAAAUAGUGUUAGCUUGAGAAUUCUCUGGAUGACGAGCUGAGUUGCCGUGAGAGUAAGUUUGUGGAGCUGUAGGCCCCAUGUUAGAUAAUAAAGGACGCUUUUGGAUUUCAGUCAAGGAGGAAUCUUGUGUCAGGAUGGCAUGGUUGUGUCGGUUGAUGCGAUCAGAUGGAUGUUAUGUCGAGGAUGAUGUGAUGUAGAUGUUAAGGAUUUUUCUGUACGUGCAAGGGGCACGUCAUCAGGAAAGAAAUUUGGUGAGUGGAUUUUUGGCAGGAUCAGAAUUGGCUCUUCUUGUGUGGAGACCCUUGGUUUUGUCGGCAGGUUGGUGAGGUGGCAUGUAAGUUGGACUUGCCGCCAAGUAUUAGUAAUGUUUUUUUUGAGGUUAAAUCCAGUUGUUUGUAAGUCUGAGCUGAGGAAGUGUAUUUUCGAUCUUGCUCGUGUUGGACCCUUAGUGUGUGGAAGCAAGUGAAGAUUUGGUUUCCGAGGAGUAGUAAGUGAGGAUCGCGGAUUUUCAGGUUCGCCAGUUUUGUUUAAGGGUUUUGUCGAUGAGUCUUGUGGUUUAGUUAGUUUCUGCCGAGGGAAAAGUUUCCGAGAAGCCGGGUUGGAGAUGAGAGGUUCCUAAUUAGUUUCAGUCGUAAGUGAAGCCCCUUUUCUUUUAAAAUUCGAGGACGAAUUUUUUUUUUUUAAGGGGGGGAGAAUGUAACACCC
rnacentral:lncRNA from 1 species